GACGAACGCUGGCGGCGUGCCUAAUACAUGCCAGUUGAGCGAUGAAGAUUGGUGCUUGCACCAAUUUGAAGAGCAGCGAACGGGUGAGUAACGCGUGGGGAAUCUGCCUUUGAGCGGGGGACAACAUUUGGAAACGAAUGCUAAUACCGCAUAACAACUUUAAACAUAAGUUUUAAGUUUGAAAGAUGCAAUUGCAUCACUCAAAGAUGGUCCCGCGUUGUAUUAGCUAGUUGGUGAGGUAAAGGCUCACCAAGGCGAUGAUACAUAGCCGACCUGAGAGGGUGAUCGGCCACAUUGGGACUGAGACACGGCCCAAACUCCUACGGGAGGCAGCAGUAGGGAAUCUUCGGCAAUGGACGAAAGUCUGACCGAGCAACGCCGCGUGAGUGAAGAAGGUUUUCGGAUCGUAAAACUCUGUUGGUAGAGAAGAACGUUGGUGAGAGUGGAAAGCUCAUCAAGUGACGGUAACUACCCAGAAAGGGACGGCUAACUACGUG
rnacentral:rRNA from 1 species